AUGCGCCGCGCCGUCUUCCUUGGCGCGGGAACGCCACCGUCCGCGCCGGUCUUCGUCACGCUGUCGGGUUCUAUCGCCUACUUCGAGCACCGCCGCCGCUCUUCUUUGGCCGCCGCCGCCGCUACCGCCGUAGCCGCCGCCGCCGCCCGUCCACCUCCAUCGUCUUCAUCCAGCACCAGCUCGUCGCCAGCGUCGCCGUCAUCUAUCCCGACCGCUUCAUCUACUCCGACAACCGCGAGCGACAUUGGCGCCGCGCCGAUUGGCGACGGUCGUCGAGUCCUUCUCUGCUGGCCUCUCCGACUUCUUCGACAUGGCGUACAGCUCGUGCAGGUCCCAGUCUACGCAUGCCCGGUGCUGGCAACACCGAUGCGUGCCUUCAUCCACGACGUGUCCCCGGGCCUGGCAAGCCUGGUGCGGCGCUUCGUCAACUUCGUCUUCGACCGUCUAUGCAUGCCCGGUGCUGGCAACACCGACGCGUGUCUUCGUCUACGAUGUGUCCCCGGGUUUGGCAACCCCGCCGCGACGCGUCGUCAACAACAUCUUCUUCCCGGCGCACCACUACUUCGACACCACUGCGCCCAUGCUAACUCGGCGUCUCCUUGCGCCCGCGGCUCCACGACGACUUCCUCGACACCGGCUACCCCGACUCGACAUCGACCACGGCAUUCUUCGCACGGCUACCUCGACCACGGCUCCACCACCCACGCUCUCGGCUACAUCGACAAACGGCACAAAGGGCUACCGCCUCGCUUGAGCAACCUCGUCGGUUUCCACUCCAGCCACGACUCCGCGAUGCGUCGACCGUUACGACUGUGGGGGGGGUGUCCGUCGGCUUGCCUUCGGAUUCUUCUCCAGUCUCACCGUCUGCGUCGCUACCGUUGUGACUGCGGGGGGAUGUUGAGUAACGUGAUUGUAUUAGGAAACAUAGGUUAG
rnacentral:rRNA from 1 species